UACGUAGGGCGCAAGCGUUGUCCGGAAUUACUGGGCGUAAAGGGUUCGUAGGCGGUGCGGUAAGUCGGAAGUGAAAUCUCUGGGCUUAACUCAGAGGCUGCUUUCGAAACUGCCGUGCUAGAGUGCGGGAGAGGCGAGUGGAAUUGCAGGUGUAGCGGUGAAAUGCGUAGAUAUCUGCAGGAACACCCGUGGCGAAGGCGGCUCGCUGGACCGCAACUGACGCUGAGGAACGAAAGCUAGGGGAGCAAACAGG
rnacentral:rRNA from 1 species